CCCGGUACCAAAAACAAACAAACAAACAAACAAAAAACCCAAAAGUCAAACCAAACCAAAGCAAGAAAGUGUCAGGGCUUCUUGAUGUGGUCUUGGAGGAUGAGCAGGGCAUGCUGGAUAAAGGGAAGAACGUGGCUACACUCCUGGAGAUGUGGCCGAGCCUGGCCCCUCGGGGAUACCUCACAGAGUUGGUGAUGGCAGAAACUCAUCCAGGGUCUUUCUAUGUAGUCCAGGCUGGCCUUGAACUCAUGGUGAUACUCCUGUCUCAGCUUCCUGAGUGCUGGGAUUACAGACAUCACCACUAUGCCCUGCUCACUGAUGAAUUUUAAAGGAGGAAAACAACAAGGUCAGAGUGUUGGUUUUAUUUUGUAAAAAAUGCAGCUGAACCUGACUCAACUCCAGAGAAGGCGCAGCUUGCUCAGAGCCAUCAGCAUCACCAUGGCAACCAUGCCAUCCACGAGCACUUGAAAAUGUCAUUAUCAGCAGCGGCCCUGUGUGUUCCUUCUCACCGCAAGGCAAACUUGGGCCCCCACAGCUCCCUGACCCUCAGGGUGGGGGGCUGGGACUGGGCUCCCCCAGAAGCAGAGAGUCGAAAGGAGGGACUUUGGGUUUCCCUCAUCCUCAUCUUGCCUGUCUGCCUUGGACAUCCGUCUAGAAGGAGCGGAGAGCAUCUCUUUCCUGCUGGGCAGGCAGGCAGAGUGGACACUAAGCUCACACUUUCAAGGUCUGAAAGCCAUGAUUUCUCUUUGUUUCUCUCUUUUUGGAGGGGAGGUGGUUUGAGACAGAGUCUCACUAUGUAGCCCAGGCUGGCCUCAAACUCUCAGUGAUCCUCUUGCCUCAGCCUCCUGAGUGCUGGGAUUGACAAGGGUGGGGCACUGCUCCCAGCUGCCAUUUCUAUUUCUAAGGUUGUGAGGUGGGGACAGCUGCAGAGCUCCUGAGGCCUAGACUGCAAAUGUGGAUGAAGAAGAUGAGGACAAUGCUGAUGGAACCCACUGCGGGGUGUCUAUCACCAGGAGUCAGCUUUCUGAGUGUGGAUAUGAGCAGCCACUUUGGGCCACGAGGCAGGGGCCAGGCUGAGGAUGGAGAACACCAGCAGGAGCAGAACCAAAGGCAGGAGCUGCAGAGCCGGCCACAGAGAUGGCCCCAGCUCCGUCAGCCGGUGCUCUGGCAAGCUUGCCAGUCCCCUGGGUGAUUACAUCUUCAAUGUUUUUCCCACCCAGCUCACUGAGGACUUUAUUAAGCUGGUCAUUGUCUGCCUCAAUGC
rnacentral:lncRNA from 1 species